GAGGCCAGUGAUAACCAGCUCAUCAUUCAACAUUUCCAGCUCUGAGGUUUGCGACCAUGAUAUUACCCGUGGAUGAAACUUCUAUUCGAGAGUUGGCGGCUAGGAUGUGGGAGGAGCAUAACGGGAAAGGUCAUCAGUUGGCCGGCAAUCUCAACCAUCUGGAACAGAACUGAAGUCCUAAAAUGAAAGAGCCUUCAAACACAAGAAAAUGAGUCAUCGCCAAGCCCAGGCAAUGAUAAUACCUGUAUGUUGGGACCUAAACUUGAUCUUGGAUGUAACAUGCCAUCAAUGGCCUAAGGCAUUGAAAUGUGGCAAACAAAGUGGAACGAGGUGCUUCCGUUUAGCGACGUCACUGUAGAUCCCGGAUCCUUCUGUCUUUCCUCUUAGCUCUGGAAAUGGACAGAGAAGGCCCCAAAUAGCAAUCUGGUGUCUAGUGGCCUUUGCUCUGGGGAGGGGAGCAAAGAUGUCUGUUGGCAUCUCAUUCCAAGUAACAGUUCAGCUGCCGUAGCUCCAGACAUCUCAUCCACUUCCAAGCAGGAAGAAGAAAUUUCCUGAAACGGCUUCCUCCUUUUUAUUCGUGAAGGAAAAACUAUGUUGGCGGCCCCUCAAGACUCCUGACAUCCACACACAGACUUCCCUUUGCAAGUGGACAUUUAGGAGCCAUACGACCCUCCCUGGCAGUAAGGAUGCAGUGAGACCGUUGGCUUUCUAAUAACCACGAUAAUAGAGGGUUGCAAGGAAGAAGGGGGUGGAUGGGCAUCUGAUGCGCCAACUCACCUGGUCUACCACAACACCUCGUAUGUAUUUUUACAGUUCUUCGUGUGUAUGUUUCCUAUUUGUCAA